GGGCACAUGGUGUAGUUGGUUAUCACGCUCGCUUAGCACUCGACGCCUACUUGUCUGGGCAUCGGGCAGUUUGCGAGAGGUGUCCGGUUCAAUUCCGGAUGUGUCCA